rnacentral:rRNA from 1 species
GAUGAACGCUGGCGGCGUGCUUAACACAUGCAAGUCGAACGAAGCACUUUAUUUGAUUUCCUUCGGGACUGAUUAUUUUGUGACUGAGUGGCGGACGGGUGAGUAACGCGUGGGUAACCUGCCUUGUACAGGGGGAUAACAGUUGGAAACGGCUGCUAAUACCGCAUAAGCGCACGGCAUCGCAUGAUGCAGUGUGAAAAACUCCGGUGGUAUAAGAUGACCCGCGUUGGAUUAGCUAGUUGGUGAGGUAACGGCCCACCAAGGCGACGAUCCAUAGCCGACCUGAGAGGGUGACCGGCCACAUUGGGACUGAGACACGGCCCAAACUCCUACGGGAGGCAGCAGUGGGGAAUAUUGCACAAUGGGCGAAAGCCUGAUGCAGCGACGCCGCGUGAGCGAAGAAGUAUUUCGGUAUGUAAAGCUCUAUCAGCAGGGAAGAUAAUGACGGUACCUGACUAAGAAGCACCGGCUAAAUACGUG